GGUAGUCCACGCCGUAAACGAUGUCGACUUGGAGGUUGUGCCCUUGAGGCGUGGCUUCCGGAGCUAACGCGUUAAGUCGACCGCCUGGGGAGUACGGCCGCAAGGUUAAAACUCAAAUGAAUUGACGGGGGCCUGCACAAGCGGUGGAGCAUGUGGUUUAAUUCGAUGCAACGCGAAGAACCUUACCUACUCUUGACAUCCAGAGAACUUUCCAGAGAUGGAUUGGUGCCUUCGGGAACUCUGAGACAGGUGCUGCAUGGCUGUCGUCAGCUCGUGUUGUGAAAUGUUGGGUUAAGUCCCGCAACGAGCGCAACCCUUAUCCUUUGUUGCCAGCGGUCCGGCCGGGAACUCAAAGGAGACUGCCAGUGAUAAACUGGAGGAAGGUGGGGAUGACGUCAAGUCAUCAUGGCCCUUACGAGUAGGGCUACACACGUGCUACAAUGGCGCAUACAAAGAGAAGCGACCUCGCGAGAGCAAGCGGACCUCAUAAAGUGCGUCGUAGUCCGGAUUGGAGUCUGCAACUCGACUCCAUGAAGUCGGAAUCGCUAGUAAUCGUGGAUCAGAAUGCCACGGUGAAUACGUUCCCGGGCCUUGUACACACCGCCCGUCACACCAUGGGAGUGGGUUGCAAAAGAAGUAGGUAGCUUAACCUUCGGGAGGGCGCUUACCACUUUGUGAUUCAUGACUGGGGUGAAGUCGUAACAAGGUAACC
rnacentral:rRNA from 1 species